CUUAAAGUAAUGAUGGACUGUCAUUUCUCUUUGCUCAUUUGUACUGUUGUUGCCAUAAUAUGGACUUGGUCUUUUACCAAAUAGGGCUGUCUUCUGUAUACCACCUUGUCACAACACAACUGAUUGGCUCAAACGCAUUAAGGAAAGAAAUUCCACAAAUUAACUUUUAACAAGGCACACCUGUUAAUUGAAAUGCAUUCUAGGUGACUGCCUCAUGAAGAUGGUUUAGAGAAUGCCAAGAGUGUGCAAAGAUGUCAUCAAGAAGCCAUAGAGGGGAAUACUAAAACCCCAAAGGACAAGGUGAAUGCAACGAACGCCCCAAACAAGGCAUCGGGGGCAAGCACCUUGACACUUCCGUUUUUGCUGCAGUUGGGACUGAUGGUUGCACCUGCCUUACUUCAAACUCUGCUGUAGCACUUGCUAUGCUCUCCUUCCACAAGACUCUGCAGAACUUCUGCAAGAACGGGGGCAACAACAUAACAAUAGCUUUAAUGACUAGGCCUACUAUAUUUACCUGUACUGUAGACCCUAGCUGACCCGUUUCCAUGACUGAACACCAUGAUAUUCUUAACCCAAAUGACCUUGUAAUAAUCAUACAGAAACAGA
rnacentral:lncRNA from 1 species